rnacentral:rRNA from 1 species
AUGAGGCGAACCGGGGGAACUGAAACAUCUAAGUACCCCGAGGAAAAGAAAUCAACCGAGAUUCCCCCAGUAGCGGCGAGCGAACGGGGAGCAGCCCAGAGCCUGAAUCAGUGUGUGUGUUAGUGGAAGCGUCUGGAAAGGCGUGCGAUACAGGGUGACAGCCCCGUACACAAAAAUGCACAUAUUGUGAGCUCGAUGAGUAGGGCGGGACACGUGGUAUCCUGUCUGAAUAUGGGGGGACCAUCCUCCAAGGCUAAAUACUCCUGACUGACCGAUAGUGAACCAGUACCGUGAGGGAAAGGCGAAAAGAACCCCGGCGAGGGGAGUGAAAAAGAACCUGAAACCGUGUACGUACAAGCAGUGGGAGCACGCUUAGGCGUGUGACUGCGUACCUUUUGUAUAAUGGGUCAGCGACUUAUAUUCUGUAGCAAGGUUAACCGAAUAGGGGAGCCGAAGGGAAACCGAGUCUUAACUGGGCGUUAAGUUGCAGGGUAUAGACCCGAAACCCGGUGAUCUAGCCAUGGGCAGGUUGAAGGUUGGGUAACACUAACUGGAGGACCGAACCGACUAAUGUUGAAAAAUUAGCGGAUGACUUGUGGCUGGGGGUGAAAGGCCAAUCAAACCGGGAGAUAGCUGGUUCUCCCCGAAAGCUAUUUAGGUAGCGCCUCGUGAAUUCAUCUCCGGGGGUAGAGCACUGUUUCGGCAAGGGGGUCAUCCCGACUUACCAACCCGAUGCAAACUGCGAAUACCGGAGAAUGUUAUCACGGGAGACACACGGCGGGUGCUAACGUCCGUCGUGAAGAGGGAAACAACCCAGACCGCCAGCUAAGGUCCCAAAGUCAUGGUUAAGUGGGAAACGAUGUGGGAAGGCCCAGACAGCCAGGAUGUUGGCUUAGAAGCAGCCAUCAUUUAAAGAAAGCGUAAUAGCUCACUGGUCGAGUCGGCCUGCGCGGAAGAUGUAACGGGGCUAAACCAUGCACCGAAGCUGCGGCAGCGACACUAUGUGUUGUUGGGUAGGGGAGCGUUCUGUAAGCCUGUGAAGGUGUACUGUGAGGUAUGCUGGAGGUAUCAGAAGUGCGAAUGCUGACAUAAGUAACGAUAAAGCGGGUGAAAAGCCCGCUCGCCGGAAGACCAAGGGUUCCUGUCCAACGUUAAUCGGGGCAGGGUGAGUCGACCCCUAAGGCGAGGCCGAAAGGCGUAGUCGAUGGGAAACAGGUUAAUAUUCCUGUACUUGGUGUUACUGCGAAGGGGGGACGGAGAAGGCUAUGUUGGCCGGGCGACGGUUGUCCCGGUUUAAGCGUGUAGGCUGGUUUUCCAGGCAAAUCCGGAAAACUAAGGCUGAGGCGUGAUGACGAGGCACUACGGUGCUGAAGCAACAAAUGCCCUGCUUCCAGGAAAAGCCUCUAAGCAUCAGGUAACAUCAAAUCGUACCCCAAACCGACACAGGUGGUCAGGUAGAGAAUACCAAGGCGCUUGAGAGAACUCGGGUGAAGGAACUAGGCAAAAUGGUGCCGUAACUUCGGGAGAAGGCACGCUGAUAUGUAGGUGAAGUCCCUCGCGGAUGGAGCUGAAAUCAGUCGAAGAUACCAGCUGGCUGCAACUGUUUAUUAAAAACACAGCACUGUGCAAACACGAAAGUGGACGUAUACGGUGUGACGCCUGCCCGGUGCCGGAAGGUUAAUUGAUGGGGUCAGCGCAAGCGAAGCUCUUGAUCGAAGCCCCGGUAAACGGCGGCCGUAACUAUAACGGUCCUAAGGUAGCGAAAUUCCUUGUCGGGUAAGUUCCGACCUGCACGAAUGGCGUAAUGAUGGCCAGGCUGUCUCCACCCGAGACUCAGUGAAAUUGAACUCGCUGUGAAGAUGCAGUGUACCCGCGGCAAGACGGAAAGACCCCGUGAACCUUUACUAUAGCUUGACACUGAACAUUGAGCCUUGAUGUGUA